GUAUAUACAUAAAGGAACGUACUGUGCCCGCGCACGACGAGCGUCGGUUCGAUACUGGAGGCACUUCAAGCGAUGUUGCUUCCACCUCGUUCGCAAGUCCCACCGCCCGCGCUCUCCGUCACUAUUAUAAAGGCAACGACAACGACGAGUUCGAUGACGAAGAUACAAGGAUAACGAGGGUAACAGAGGCAACAACAAAUACGACAACGAAGAUGAGGAUAACGAGAUAGAACAUCAUAGAAACGUGAAAUCUGGAAUGACGUUUGAGCAACAAGUGGUGAGAAAUUGGUUCACGGCAGUUAUGUAUACGCUUGAUUAUGUUUUGGCAUAGAUACCAGUACGAACGGAAAAACAAUUAGAAGGUUUCUUCGUCAAGAUCUUUGAAAUAAAGCCUGAUAUUCGGCAAGUUUCUCAUCAACAUAAUUUUGGCUUUGACUGGCGAUAAUUUCUGCAGUACUAGGACCACUGGAUUCUUCAUCGACUGGUGUGUGAUCCAAUGGCACACUAAUAUAUUCGUAAUCACCGG